GCUGAGUGGCUCAGUGGACAGAGAGCUGGGCCUCAAGACCAGAGGUUGUAGGUUCGAAUCUGACCUCAGGCU
rnacentral:tRNA from 1 species